rnacentral:lncRNA from 1 species
AAAAAAAAAAAAAAAAAAAAAAAAAAAAAAAAAAAAAAAAAAAAAAAAAAAAAAAAAAAAAAAACUUCUCUCUCUCUCUGCUUACUAUCUACGGUGAGGUACUGCGUAUGCCGUAGCCUCCAGGAUAUGGCCACGUGUACUCAAAGAUUCGUGCUGCUGAUGUGAUUCGGUCAACCAUUUUAGUUGGGAAGGUUGAGACAUGUGAGGUCGACAUACAACUGCGCGAAGCUUCUAAAGGCUAAAAAGCGCAAAGGUCCAACUUUGACUCGCAAACUAGGCUUUAAAAUUUGACCGAGGAUUAUAACUUUUCCCACAAGUAUAUAUUUAUAUAUAAAAAGUAUUUAUUUGUGGUACCGACUCAAAAGUUUAAUUCCUUCAAUUUGUUAAUUGGUUCACACCAAACAAAUUUUACCUCUCAAUUAUCGCGUGUGUCACAAUUGCUAGCUAUAUAAAAAAAUAUUUAAGAUUAUUUUUGCUUUUAAUCUAGUUUUCUAAAUUUGAAAACUCGAAAGUUUCUCCUAAUUCAAUAUUAAAUGUUCUAAAAUAAAUAAGAAUUCGAACCGAACUGAGUAACUAAAUACUACUUCGAUUUUUCAAAUUAUUAAAGGUUUCGAUGUGGCGUUCUUAUUAAUUUGGUUUGUAGCAAUAACCGCUCGUCAUCAUUUAAAUUAUAAGCUAAGGUAUCGUUUGGCUCGGUAAUAAGCAAAAAGUGGGUAUUCCAGAAAUAGGUAUAAAUUGAGGUAUAAGCGGGGAUUAGAUCAAUUUUGCGUUUGGAUGAAAAUUGAGUUAUUUCUAGGAAUAAGAAAAAUAACGUUUGGUAAGGUAAGAUGGAAUAAGAUUGAAAGUGGGUAGUUAUAAAUAAAAAUUAAUAAUAUUAUCACUUUUUUAUUUAUAUUAGAAUUUAAAUUUUUAUAUUUUAUAUUUAUAUUUUAAAAUUUAAAAUUUUAACUUUUAAAUUUCAAAUUUUGAAAUUAAAAUUUAAAAUUUAAAAUCUCAAAUUUUAAAUUCAAAAUUUAAAUUUUAAAUUUCUAACUUUAAAUUUAAGAUCAAAUUUAAAUUUGAAAAAAAAUAAAAUUCAAAUUUAAAAUUUCAAAAAUUUAAAAUUUCAAAAUUUAAAUUUAAAAUUUAAAAUGUGGAAUUUAAAAUUAUAAACUUUAAUUUUGAGAUUACAAAUUUUAAAUUUUAAAUAUAAUUUAUUAUAAUAUUUUAAAUUUUAAAUUUAUUUAAAUUUUAAAUUUUAAUUUAUUUUAAUAUUUAAAUAUAAUUUGUUAUAAAAUUUAUUAUAAUAUUUAAAUAUAAAUAAUAUGUAUUAAUAUAGUACAAUUAAUAAUUUAAUAAUAAAAAUAAUGUAUUAUAAUAUAUAAUAUAUUAUAUUUAUAUAAUUUAGUUUUAAUUUAUUUUUUAAUUUUAAUUAAGUUUGAAAUUAAGCAUGGGAAUAGCACUAUUCCAUCAAAAUGAUGGAAUAGUAAAAAGCUUGCUAUUCCGGGAUAACUGGGAAUAGCAAGCUUUGACCGGGAUAAAAUAUCCCGGUAAAAAAUGAUCCCGUUUGGCGGAAUAGCGGGGAUAACUUUCGUUAUCCCCGCUUAUCCCCCGAACCAAACGGGGCCUAAGAGUAUAGAUUUCUUUAUACUUAUGUGAAAAGAAUGUGCAGCUAGGAUGAUAGUGAUUCUCCAAAGUUGAGUGGAUGGAUGAAUAAAUAGUAUAAUCUAAUGGAUGGAAACGAUCAAAUGAGCCGAAAAUUUAUGAGUAUAAAAAAAAUCUAUAUUUAUGAAAAUAUAGUAGUCGAACUAUAUAUAUAUAUAUAUAGAGCAGGGCUGCUGUGCUCUUAGGAGAACGGAGGCUUCCGUGCUCCUGAGCUGUUUUCGAUGAUGAAAUUUUCGAAUCGACGAUCGGCUCCGUUAGACUUGAUCUAGCCUAUUUGAAGUUUAUAGAAAAUAAUUUUUGCAAUUUUUUGACAUCAUUUAAUUACCUAGUGAUCGAAAGGAUUCAAAAUUCAUAAUUUUUAAUGGUUGAUAUCUGCCGUUUUCAAAUUUAACGAUGUAGAAGUAUUCAAAUCAGAUAAAAUUUUGAUACAAAAUUCUUUAUACUAUAUACAACAAGAUCAAUAUUUCUGAUCGAAAAUUUUAGUGAUAUAUCACUACUUUUUAUAGAAUUUUUAUUUUCAGCUGUUAAAAAUUAUUGAUUUUAAAUCAUUUCGAUUGCUAGGUAAAUAAUAUCGAAAAAUCACAAAAAUUAUUUUUCAGAAACUUUAAAUACGCUCUAUAUAUAUAUAUAUAUUCUGAACAAAAAAAAGUUAGCACAACGUAAGUGGCUACAUACAUGUGACGUUCACAAUAUUCCAGAUUCAAUCUAAGAAUAAAUUUUCUUUCUCAUGCACUUCUCUAAAUAUGAAUUAUUUAAUUAAUAAGAGUCCAUCCCAACAUAUACAAUAUGUCAACACCUACCGUAUGGGACUUCACACACAUGUGAAAGAGGGAAUAAAUAAACGCUAGAGGAGACGCGGCCACCCACGUAGUAGUUAGCUAGGUAUUGAUCGAGUCAUUAUUAUAAUCACAUUACCGCGUUUGUAGAGACUCGGAUCGUGCUUGGAACAGUGGACAAAUUAGACCAAGUCCAAAUCCAAAUUGAACCAUGCACGUUUCCCUCGCCUAUCUACUAUCUAUAUAAAGCCUCCCUCUAACCCUCAUCUCUUCAUCAAAUUCAUUUGCUCCCUUAAUUACCACUACUUCUAUUCUAAUACUUCACCUUUGAUUAAUUUGCUUAAUUAAGGUGAACUAAGCUUAGCAGCCUUAGAAAUGGCUUCUUCCUACACAUCUCUAGCUUUGGGUGCUCUUCUUCUCAUGAGCUGCGUCUCAUGGGGCUCGGCCGCCACCUACACCGUCGGCGAUUCCCAGGGUUGGGGCUUUAACGUCAACUACUCAACUUGGGCUAGCAACAAGAAGUUCGUCGUGGGCGACAAACUUGGUUAGUUCUCCGAACCACCUAAAUUAUCAAAUACAGUAAUUCAAUCUCUUUUUGUUAAUUCGUAUUUGUUAAUGCCUUACUGAAGUAUGACUUGAACUCGAGACCUAUUAUUUAGUAAUGUACAUGUUUGCUGAUACUGUUGUAUUUGCAAAUACAGUUUUCAACUAUCAAACCGGCCAACACACGGUCGCGGAGGUGAGCUCGAGCGACUACAACUCGUGCUCGACCAGCAACCCCAUCAGCACCAACACCAAUGGGCCCACCACCAUCACCCUCGCCACCGCGGGGUCCCACUACUACAUCUGCACCAUCCAGAGCCACUGCUCCGCCGGCAUGAAGCUUGCCGUCAACGUCGCCGCCUCCUCAUCCUCCUCUCCAUCCACACCGCCACCGAAGUCGUCAUCCCCCGCCCCGCCCGCCACCCCUACGACACCCUCCACGCCGACAACACCCUCCACUCCGACCGCAGCCGCUCCCUCCACCCCGACUGCCUCCGCGCCAACCAACCACCAAUCCGGAGCUGCCUCUGACCUCGUGCCGACCUUAUCGGCUGUGGCGGCGAUCGCCGGGCUCGUGGCGAUGAUCUUCUAAGCCCGGCCAGGGUGGAGACAGUGCCAUUGUACACUCUCUCUCUCUCUCUCUCUAGAUCUCCCUUUUUGGAGACAUUAUUCUUUUUGUUGUAUCUUAGGUGGUGAUUAGAUCGUUUUACGGGGUAUACGUUGAUUUCGUUACGAGGGUUGAUUACCAGGUGUACGUAAUUUUACGGCUUCAGAUAUUUUGUGCGCGUGGAGUGUGUUCACAUUUGUAUCUUGAGAUUCAUUACAUUUACUGAUUCAAUAAAGGACAUUACUUUGUACCAACCCUUUCACGUACUUUUGCUUUUCCUUUUUCUUUUUAAGACAAAAAAAAGGUUUAGACUAAAUUUAAACCGAUGUCAUGGAUGACGCAAUUUUAUUUUAAAUGAAGAUCGGUUUUGGGUUGAAAGACUACACUUCCAAAAAUUUUCAAGUCGAUUUUAUACUUGACUGCUGCGCUUUAUUUUAUUUUAUUUUGAGAAAAAGAUAGCAGAUUAUCUGUUUUGUUCAUAAGAAGAAUGAACUAAAUAUCUGAUAUUAGAGAUGAAAAAAUAAAUCUAGAUCAAAAAAAUAAAAAAUAAAAAAAAAUUACAGAAGUAACACUGAAAAGUUAAGAAAUUAUGAAAAAAAUCAUUUGGGUGAGAGAGAUUUCUUUCGACUGGAUCUCCAACCGCUUGAUCUUAUUUUUUGUUGGGCUUUAUUUAAGAUUGCAAAAAAAUUACAAUAAAUAUAAAAAAGUAUGACAAAAACAUAUUUUAUUUAAGUUUAUAUAUAUAUUUUCGUGUUUUGUAUAUUAUAACAAAUUGAUAUAUCAGAAAAUGCAGAAAUUUAUAUCAGUUGAGUCAUGCUGCGUGUCUAAGAUGAGUUGACAGUUGGGUUAGGUUUGACAGGUGGGUUUUGACUAGAUUUACGAGUUGAGUUGCACUGAAUUUAGUUGAUGGGUAAUGUUCGGUCAAAUUAAUAAUAUUUUUUUAAGAAAAAAAUAAUAAGCUAUUGAUUUUGUUUUUUUAAUCAAAAUAAAUUUAGUUAGAAAUGUAAAAUAAUUAGAUUUCUAAUUUGGGGCCAUGAAUACUAAUCAUCAACCUUUUUGACACUUGUGUUAAAAAUAAUCAGUUAAACUAAUAAUUUGUUAGAUUAAUAUAUAUAUAGAAAGAGAGAGAGCGUAAGACUACUGUACUAAUAGAAGCACAGCAGUGCUUAUACUUCUAAGUUUGUAACUAUUCAGCAAUUUUGAUGGGUGAUUAGAGUUAAUAUCUCAAUUCUCUCUUAGGUUUUUUUUCUCUCUUACUCUUAUCACCCAUCUUUUUAUAGUUAUCAACUUAGAAGUAUAAGUACUCCUUUACUCCUAAUAGCGUUAUAAUGCUAUUAUAUAUCUAUAUCUAUAUAAUAUAUAUAUAUAUAUAUAUAUAUAUAUAUAAUAUAUAUAUAUAUAGAGUCUGCUAACUAUACUUUUAUGAGUAUAGAGUCUCUUGUAUUCAUAAAUUUUUAGCCGUUUGAUCCACCCUUUAAUCCAUUUUACCCGUUAGAUUAAUACUAUUCAACCAACCACUCACCAACCCCUAGCCAGCCCACUAUCAACCUAAACUGUAAUCAUUCUCAUCCUAACCACAUAUUUUUUCAUCUGAACAGCUAAAAACCUUAUGAGUAUAAGAGGCUAUAUACUCCAUAAGAGUAUAGUAGCCCCAGCUAUAUAUAUAUAUAUAUAUAUAUAUAUAUAUAUAUAUAUAGUGGCGGCUAGAUGCUUAUGGAAGCACGGAGGGCUUCCGUGCUUCCACUUUGAUUUCGAUGUUCGGACAUUUGAGAUCGACGAUCGCUCCGUUAGACUUGAUCUAGAGUAUUGAAAAGUAUCUAGAAAAUUAAGUUUGCAAUUUUUCGAUAUCAUUUGCUAGUGAUCAAAGUGCUCAAAAUCAACCGCAUGAAAAUAAGAAUCUUACAAAAAUAAUGAUGAUAUGACAUUAAAAUUUUAGAUCAAAGUUAUUGAUCUUGUUUUAUAUGUAUAAAGAAUUUUCUAUCAAAAUUCCAUGCAUUUUGGAUUUUUCUACAUCACCGUUAACUUGCAACCUGCUCACCAACGGCCGUUAAAUAUUGAUUUUGAGCCCCUUCGAUCACUAAGCAAAUGAUAUCGAAAAAUCGCAAAAUUUAUUUUCUAGGUACUUCAAAUACUCUAGAUCAACUCUAACGGAGCCGAUCGUCGCUUCGAAAGUCCAAACAUCGAAAACAGAGUGGAACACAAGCAGGGCUCCAUGCUUCCUUAAGCAUACCAGCCCCAUAUAAUAUAUAUUUAUUAUAUAUAAUAUAUAUAUAUAUAUAUAUAUAUAUAUAUAUAUAUAUAUAUAUAUAUAUAUAUAUGAGUAGGGCUAGAUACUUUGUAAAAGUACUCAUGGGGGUGAUACUUGUGUGUUUUUAGCCCUUGAUGGAGAGAUUGUGAGGUUGAAGAUGACGGUGGUUAGUGUGGUAAGUGCAAUAGUGUUUAAUCCAAGGGCUAUUAAUAAUCAAAAAGUAGAUCCAAUGACUUAAAACCUAAUAGCACCAUGAUGGUGAUACUUGUAAAAGUAUCAUAGCUCAACUCUAUAUAUAUAUAUAUAUAUAUAUAUAUAUAUAUAUAGUGAGACUACUAUACUUCUGGAAGCACUGAGCCUUUCGUGCUUCCAGGUCGUUUUCCAUGUUGCGACUUUCGAAUCAUCGAUCGGCUCCGUUAAAUUUAAUCUAAAGUAUUUGAAGUACCUAUAAAAUAAAUUAUAUGAUUUUUUGAUAUUAUUUGCCUAGUGAACGAAGGGGCUCAAAAUUAACAGCUGAAAAUAAAAAUCUUACAAAACGUGAUAAUAUGACAUUAAAAUUUUAGAUCAAAUAUAUUGAUCUUGUUUUAUAUACUAUAAAGAAUUUUCUAUCAAAAUUUCACGUGAUUUGGAUAUUUCUACACUGUUAAACUUGCAAACGGCUCAUUAUGACCGUUAAAAUUAUUGAUUUUGAGCCCCUUCGAUCACUAGGCAAAUGAUAUCGAAAACUUAUAAAAUUUAUUUUCUAGGUACUUCAAAUACUCUAGAUCAAGUUUAAUGGAGCCGAUCGACGAUUCGAAAAUCGCAACAUGAAAAACGACCUCGAAGCACGGAAGGCUCCGUGCUUCCAGAAGCAUAGUAACCAAAUGGGCUCCUUUGCCACCCAUUUGUUUUCGAUGAUGGAGUCUCCAAAUCGACGAUCAGCAUCGUUGAACAUGAUCUAUAUCACUUAAAGUGUUUAGAAAUCAAAUUUCAUAUAUUUUCAAUAUUAUUCUUUUAUCCAUCGAGUGGACACAAAAAUGAACGGCUGAAAAUAAAUAUUCUUUAAAAAAUAAUGAUAGGAGUCUUGUAAUGAAGAUCAAGAGUAUAGAUCUUGUUUUAAAUUAUUUAAAGAAUUUUCUAACAAAAAUUCAAUUGAUUUGAAUAUCUUUACGCCGUUAAACGAGAAAACGCCUCAUAUCGACCAUUAAAAUUACAAAUUUUGAAACCCUUUGAUCAUUAGACAAAUGAUGUCGAAAAGAUAUGAAAUUUGAUUUCUAAACACUUCAAGUGGUAUAGAUCAUGUUCAAUGAUGUCGAUUGUCGAUUUGGAGGCUCUAACAUCGAAAAUAAAUAGGUGGCAACGGAGCCUAUUUGCUAUCGAUAGUAUUUUAGCUCAACUCUCUCUCUCUCUCUCUAUAUUUAUAUAUAUAGUAUAAACUAAAUUUUAUUAUCAGAUGAUUCCAAAGAAAAAGAUGAUUCCAAAGAAUAAAAAUUUUUAGAAGACCAAAGAAGUUAUAAAACCGAAUCGACUUAGAAUCUGCUAAACCUUCACAUCAAAAAUUUCGAAUGAAUUUUUAAUUAACACAUAUGAUAUGAUAAAUGUUAUGAUGUGAAAUCAAGUUGUAUAAUCGUAUAAAUAUAAAAAAUAUAAAUAUUGUCAUUAAAUUUUUUUUUAAGAAAUAGAUAAUAUGUUAUCCAUUUCGUUUAUUUCAUUUAAAAAUAAAUUUAAUUGAAAAUAUGAAUCAUCUAAAAUUUAAAUUUGAAAUUUCGAGAUACCAAUCAUCAAAUUCUUUACUACUUGCUUGAUUGGUAAUAUAUUGCCAUUAAUUAGUGCCCAAAAAAUUCCAAUUGGGAGGUUGGGAGAGAGGCGGCGUGUUUGGUGGCUAAGUGCCAAGUGGCAACCAACCCAAGAAAAAAGUAACUAAAAACUUUCCUCAAAACAUCUCGUGGACACGUUUCCUAACUAAAAGGCAAUCGCAUUCACAAUUAAAAAAAUGGGAUAAUUACUUAUAUAUUCCUCGUGCGUCUGAAAAUAUUCGAUAUACUCUUUUUUUUUUUCUUUCUAAAAUGCCCCUCAUAUGUUCCACCAUUAUUAUAAAAUACCCCCACAGUUAUCUCCUGUUAAGUUAACCUGAGUUAAACGUGAGUUAAAUAUCUAUCACAGUUAAAAAAAAUUAAAAUGCCAAUUUUGCCUUUAACUUAAGGGCAAAUAAGAAAGAUUGGUUACGGUAGAGGGAUAUAUUGGAAAAAAUAAAAAGUUGAAAUACUUUUUGUACCCCUAACUUUAAGAGCAAAUAAGAAAGACAAUGAUGGUGGAAUGGUAUAUUUGAAAAGGGCAAAAGAGUAAUUUUAUAGAGAUAACAGUGUUACUUAAUAGAUUUUAACUCUAAAGGUAUAUUAGAAAUAGGUUGGAACGUAGGAGGGGUAUUUUCAAUAUUAGCCUUCUAAGAGGGGUAAAUCGAAAAAUCGGAAACUUUUCAGAGGUAUAUAAGAAAUUGCCCCUUAAAAAAUUUUCGGAUUCGUGUCGCUUACGUAUAUACCGAAUGAUAAACAAAAUGAUCUUAGUAUAAAAACUGUUACGUGUGUAUUUCUAUUUUUCAUUAAAAAAUUUCGUAAAAAGUGAAUAAAUAUAGGAAAGAGGGGAAAAAACAAAAAAUAAAAAAGAGAGCCUUCUAUUAUUGACCGAAAGUUUAAAUAAAUAUAAGUUAUUAUUUCUUUGAACAAAUUUGAUCCGAUUAAAAAAGUUCACACUAGGAUGGUAAAAAUAGUUUUUAUUAUAAUUAAAAUAAUUAUUCCCAAAUGAGAUUAUUAACAAACUAAUGUUAUUAAUUAGUUUUAAGUUGUUCGUUAGAUAUAUCCUUGCACAUUGUUAUACGUGUUAAAAUUUUCCUUUAUAUUCAUGGGCGAACUAGGUUUUGAUAUUAUAUGAAACGAUUCAAACAAAUUCGAAAGUUUAAGCGGAUACAUAGAAGUAUUCUUACACAUGAUAUGCAUCAGGUUGAGAUUAACUUGGUACAUCGCGAUCAUGGUGCCAUUUGAACAAAAAAUUGAUGAGGAUGGUCCCUAACAUAAGGUUGUCUCAAUUACCAUUAUUUAUCACAUAGAUGACACGCAUCUUAAAUCUUCUUAAACGGUAGUUAGACACUGACCUUAUUAUUUUUCUUUUUCUCUUUUGAGAUAGUUUAGACUCAAUUGCAUGCUAUAUGAAUGUGAGGUCCACAUGCAUACAUACAUGCACUUGAGGUCCACACAUCAUUUUCAAAUGUGACAAUAUUGUAAGCAUUUGACUGAUGCGUAUUUUCCAGGGCACACUAUGAUUUGAUUAAUGUACGCUCCAUUCCUACAUAACAUGUCAACACCAACCAUAUGAGGAGGUCAAAAACACAUGUUGAACAUAAAGCUCGGAGGAAACGAGCAGGCAUUUCCUACACCCGGUGUAUCCAUAUAUCUCAAACAUUUGUGAUCAAUAUUUAUAAUGUAUGGGCAUUUCAAGUAUUUUCCAUAAAAAGUUAUAUAAAAAUUUGAAUAAUCUAUAACAUCAGAAUUAAGGACAGAAAAAUCAAGUUAUAUACAUAUAUAGAGUUGAGCUGGAAUGCUUUUUUUUUUUUUUUUUUGAGAAAGAGUUGAGCUGGAAUGCUAUCGGUAGCAAAUCAGGUCCGUUGCCACCUAUUUGUUUUCGAUGAUAGAGCCUUCAAAUUGACGAUCGGCACCAUUGAACAUAAUCUAUACCACUUGAAGUAUUUUGAAACCAAAUUUUAAAUAUUUUCGACAUUAUUGACCUAAUGAUCAAAGGGUUUCAAAAUUUAUAAUUUUAAUGGUAGAUAUGAGGCGUUUUCUCGUUUAACGGUGUAAACCUAUCUAAAUCAAUUGAAUUUUGGUUAGAAAAUUUUUUAAACUAUUUAGAAUAAGAUCUAUACUCUUGAUCUUGAUUACAAAAUUCCUAUAAUCACUUUUUCGAGAAUAUUCAUUUUCAGCCGCUCAAUUUUAUGCCCACUUGAUGGACAAAAGAACAAUAUCAGAAAAGCAUGAAAUUUGAUUUCUAGAUACUUCAAGUAGUAUAGAUCAUAUUCAAUGAUGUCGAUCGUCAAUUUGGAGGCUCCAUCAUCGAAAAUAAAUGGGUGACAACGGAGCCCGUUUACUAUCGAUAGUAUUCUAGCUCAACUCUAUAUAUAUAUAUAUAGAGAGAGAGAGAGAGAGAGAGAGUGGGGCUACUAUACUCUUAUGAGUAUUGGGCCCUUCAUACUCAUAACUUGUUUUCGAUGAUGGGGCUUUCGAAUCGACGAUCCACUCCAUUAAAUAUGAUCUAAAGAACGCAUUUAAACUACCUAGAAAUCAAAUUUCACGCACUUUCGAUAUUGUUCUUUAUCCAUCAAAGUGAACAAAGAAUGAAUGGCUGAAAAUAAAUAUUCUUUAAAAAAUGAUGAUAGGAGUCUUAUAAUCAAGAUCAAGAGUAUAGAUUCUUGUUUUAAAUAGUUUAAAGAAGUUUCUAACAAAAAUUCAAUUGAUUUUGAUAUGUUUAUGCCGUUAAACGAGAAAACGCCUCUUAUCGACCAUUAAAAUUACAAAUUUGAAAUCCUUUGUCAUUAGGCAAAUGAUGUCGAAAAGAUUUGAAAUUUUGAUUUCUUAAGCACUUCAAGUGGUAUUAGAUCAUGUUCAACGGAGCCGAUCGUCAUUUGGAAGUUCUAUCAUCGAAAAACAAAUAGGUAGUAAAACGGCUCGUUUACUACUGAUAUAGAAUUCUUAGAGCAAAACUCUAUAUAUAUAUUAUAUAUAUAUAUAUAUAUUAUAUAUAUAUAUAAUAUAUAUAUAUAUAGUAGUAUAUAAGUUGAGGCUACUAUGCUUCUGGAAGCACGGAGCCUUCCGUGCUUCCAGAUCGUUUUCGAUGUUGCGACUUUCGAAUCGUCGAUCGGCUCCGUUAAACUUGAUCUAGAGUAUUUGAAGUACCUAGAAAAUAAAUUUUGUAAUUUUUCGAUAUCAUUUGCCUAGUGAACUAAGGGGCUCAAAAUCAACGGCUGAAAAUAAAAAUCUUACAAAAUAUGAUAAUAUGACAUUAAAAUUUUAGAUCAAAGAUAUUGAUCUGUUUUAUACAGUAUGAAGAAUUUUCUAUCAAAAUUUUACGUGAUUUGGAUAUUUCUACACCGUUAAACUUGCAAACGGCUCAUCAUGACCAUUAAAAUUAUUGAUUUUGAGUCCCUUCGAUCAUUAGGUAAAUGAUAUCGAAAAAUCAUAAAAUUUAUUUUCUAAGUACUUCAAAUACUCUAGAUCAAGUUUAACUGAGCCGAUCGACGAUUCGAAAGUCGCAACAUCGAAAACGAUCUGGAAGCACGGAAGGCUCCGUGCUUCCAGAAGCAUAGUAGCCUCACUAUAUAUAUAUAUAUAUAUAUAUAUAUAGAUUCUUUGGAUAUGUAGAACAUGUACAUCCACUAAAUUAAAAUUUGAUUCUUAAGCUUUUACGAUUGAGUUUGAAAAUAAAUGUCAUGGAACGUUACACAUUCACCAAAUUAAAUUAAAAUUUAAUUAUGAAGCCUUCGUGUAUAUAUAUAGACCGCCUGAAUGUGGUAGAACACACGAUACACAGGAUAAAAAUUUGGUGGGUCUCGUCUCCUACACAAUAUCGUCCUCAAACAAUUUUGUUUGGGGACGAUUCUGAUGGCCGCCGCGUGGUGUGCGGCGCCUAUCGUGACCCUCGGAAAAAAAAAGAAAAAAAUUGCGGGUUCCGGUUUUUAGAAAGAGAGAGAGAGAGAGGAGAAAGGCGCGGUGGUGAUGGGGCCCAUCUGGCUCCGUGCCCAAAUAAAUUGUUUGGGCACGGAUGCCCAGCAAAUUUUUGUCCCUAUGCACAAGGUGCAUGCAAUUAAUAAUUUUUCAAAGAAAAGAAACUCUGUAAUAAAUGAUCCACUUCAUCUUGCCAUGUUAAAGUAUAUGAGGUGACUGUUGUUAUUUAAAAUCUAAGCUAUCAACAAUGGGUAUUUUUAGAUUUUAUAUUCAAAAAGGAGGACUUAAAUAAAAUUAGAAAAAAUUAAUUAUGUCAGGAGUCGAGGAUUUUAAGUUUUAAUACCAUAUUAUUUCUAAAAAACUAAAAAAUUAUAAGAGAACGCUAUUUUUAUAUUAUAUAUUCAACAGUUGUAUAAAAAUAUAAGAGUAAAAUUAUUUCAUAUUAUUUUAAUUUGACGAAGUUGAUCAAUAAUUAUAAAUAUAGUAUAAAUGAUGCGUAAUGGGGAGAAGACUCUCUCUCAUUAGAGAGGCGGCCACCCACGCAGUAGGCAUUGAUCGAGUCAUUUUCGAAAGGACAUAACGGCGUAUUUAGAGACUUUUAUAGAGCUUGGAAUAGUACGACGAUUUAUAUAUAUGGACCAAGUCCAAAUUGAGCCAUGCACCUUUCCCUAGCCUAUCUAGCUACUUCCUAUAUAAACCCUCCCUCCAACUCUCAUCUCUUCAUCAAAUUCAUUUACUCUCUUACCACAACUUCUAUUCUAAUACUUCACCUUUGAUUAAUUUGCUUAAUUGAAGUGAACUAAGCUUUAGUUAAGCUAAGUAGUCUUGAAAAUGGCUUCAUCCUACACAUCUCUAGCUUUGGGUGCUCUUCUUCUCAUGAGCUGCGUCUCAUGGGGCUCGGCCGCCACCUACACCGUCGGCGAUUCCCAAGGUUGGGGCUUUGGCGUCAACUACUCAACUUGGGCUAGCGACAAGAAGUUCGUCGUGGGUGACCAACUUGGUUAGUUCUCCGAACCAUCUGAAUUAUCCAAUACAGUAAUUUAAUGAAGUAUGACUUGAACUGGAGACCUAUUAUUUGGUAACGUAAACGUUUGUUAAUGCUGUUGUAUCUGCAAAUACAGUUUUCAACUACCAAACCAACCAACACACGGUCGCGGAGGUGAGCUCGAGCAACUACAACUCGUGCUCGACCAGCAACCCCAUCAGCACCAACACCAAUGGGCCCACCACCAUCACCCUCGCCACCGCGGGGUCCCACUACUACAUCUGCACCAUCCAGGGCCACUGCUCCGACGGCAUGAAGCUCGCCGUCAACGUCGCCGCCUCCUCUCCUUCCACACCGACAUCCCCGACGACACCCUCCACGCCGACCGCGCCCUCUCCCUCCACCCCGACGGUCCCUGCGCCGCCCUCCAACAGCAGCUCCGGAGCCGCCGCAGGCCUCGUGCCGACCUUAUCGGCGGUGGCGGCGAUCACCGGGCUCUUGGCGACGCUCUUCUAAUCCCGGCCAGGGUGGAGACAGUGCUAUAGCUAGCUAGCCGUUACAUUAAAUCUCUAGCCCUUUUGAGACAUUGAUUUUUUAUUCGAUCAUUCUAGGUGCUUUAGUUUGAUUAGUAUAAACAGCUUCAUUAUACACUUAGAGUGUGUGGAUUGGGAUGUUAUUUGUCAUGACGUUUGUAUAACUAAAUAAAGGAGAUAUUCGUACUAUUUAUUUUCAUAUUUUGUUCAAUUGAAAGAGCUACUGAUCAAAGAAUAUACUUUUCUUGGUACGCUAAUAAAACACUAAUAAUCAAUAUAAAUAUAAAUUUAAUUUACACAUAUGAACCAACACAAGAAGAUGCGUAAGGCAUUUUUCGAUCUGGUUGGAAAAAAGAGAGCCCGGGUGUGGAUUUGGUGGGGGUGACGGAGUCGUUUUGACAAAACCUUUGUGUUUGCAUGCUUUUUGACUAAGUUAUUGGAGAUUAGGUAUAUGAUGUGAGAUGAUCCCAGAAAAAAAAAAAAAAAAAAAAAAAAAAAAAAAAAAAAAAAAAAAAAAAANAAAACUAGUAAAGAGUAAUUGGUUGUUACUCAGGAAGGUUAUUCUUAAGGUCCGAAGGUUCGAAAGUAAUUCGCCUUUUGCCUUUAUUUCUACUUUUAUUUUUAGGAGCAAUUAAUUUUAAUAGAAUGUUUAGCAAACAACAAUAUUUGAAGCCCCCAAGAUAGAAUCUCCAAUUAAUUUGGUGUUUUUAUUUUUAUUGCAAUAAGAAUUUGUGAGGGAGAUUAAGUAAUAUAAUAAUACUUCCUCUAAAUUCAAAUGUCGCGUUUGAAAUAGUACAAUUCCUAGAAAAACAAUCCAUUUGAAUGUGACUUGAGAGGAAUACUAAAUAGAAUAAAACAAUACAUGGUAUAGCACUCAUUUCCUUAAAAUGAACAAUUAAUCCUUGUAAAUUAAGUUGCAUUUUAAUGGGCACCCAAGUCCUAAUUUGACUAAAAUUAGAUUCACCUUUCUCGCCUACUAACAGCGUUACAUAUCAAUUUUUUUUGGGAAAACUUAAAAAACCCCCCCUGUGGUUUCAUGCAUUCUCACUUUCAUACCCUGUGGUUUAAAACGUAUCAAUUUGCCCCCCUGUGGUUUCAUUUUUCUCUUUUUGUUAUCAAUUUUAUUAUUUUUUUUUUCUUAAAUCAGUGACAAAAUUAAAAUUAAAGGAUACUAAAGUGAAUAUUCGAUAAACAUAGAUGGUUAUCUGAAGUUUUUUGUAUAUAAUUUAACGAAAUAUUAACGAAAAAGCUUCUGAAAAGAUAAAAACGAAACCACAGGGGGGCAAAUUGAUACGUUUUAAACCACAGGGUACUAAAGUGAGAAUGCAUGAAACCACAGGGGGGGUUUUUUAAGUUUUCCCAAAAAAAAUUGAUAUGUAACGCUGUUAGUAGGCGAGAAAGGUGAAUCUAAUUUUAGUCAAAUUAGGACUUGGGUGCCCAUUAAAAUGCAACUUAAUUUACAAGGAUUAAUUGUUCAUUUUAAGGAAAUGAGUGCUAUACCAUGUAUUGUUUUAUUCUAUUUAGUAUUCCUCUCAAGUCACAUUCAAAUGGAUUGUUUUUCUAGGAAUUGUACUAUUUCAAACGCGACAUUUGAAUUUAGAGGAAGUAUUAUUAUAUUACUUAAUCUCCCUCACAAAUUCUUAUUGCAAUAAAAAUAAAAACACCAAAUUAAUUGGAGAUUCUAUCUUGGGGGCUUCAAAUAUUGUUGUUUGCUAAACAUUCUAUUAAAAUUAAUUGCUCCUAAAAAUAAAAGUAGAAAUAAAGGCAAAAGGCGAAUUACUUUCGAACCUUCGGACCUUAAGAAUAACCUUCCUGAGUAACAACCAAUUACUCUUUACUAGUUUUCUUAGAUGAAUAUUUUUCUUAUUCGUUCUGUAUAUGAUCGCAUCGUUGGAUCAUCGAUGACGUAAGUGAAAUACCAAAAACCUAACAUUCCAAGGUGUUGGUAGAUAUAAUAUAAUCUCAUUUUGAAGCUUGUGGUUUAAUUUCCACAUAUUGAUGUGGAUAGGUUAGGAAUCUUUGAAGGAAUAGAUAGCCAAUUUCUGGUCCUUAGACCAACUCUUUAUCUUCGGAACUUACACUGAACUCUUUGUUGGAACCUACCAGUUUAUAUUCUUCAUGUAAAUAUAUAGCAAAUCUUCUUUUUUUUUUUGGUUUUUUCCCCUGCUUUGAAGCUACUUUUAUUCUAUUUUGCUGGCAUGCAACUUCUGUUAGGUAAUAUCUCAACCAACCUCCAAGAGAACGACCGCCAUGUAAUGCGCGAAUCUUAAGGUAUAAUGGACGGUUGAUUAAACUGUUUUUCUCUAGGGAGGCUCCUUGGACAAUCUUGGUCAAAAGAGGAAUAAGUAUUGCUUUUGUGAUGCGCACUGUGUCCUAAUAAGGGGCAAGUUGAGAUAUUCUCAAUAGCGGAAUUUCAAUAGAACGGUUCAAUGCACAUCAUAUUUGAAUGUAGGUAGUUGAUUAAGUUAGGAUGAAGCUUUAAGUAAGAAAACAUGAUAUUGCCUGUUUUUAUCUGUUUAUUUUAACAUUGAGAGCGAAAGAUACACCAAAUCAGAACUAAAAUGAUAACAACAUGGUUCAUGAUAACGAGAACACAAUAUCCGCGCUAAGAUGAACCAAGCAGAAUUCGACCAUAACCGCGCCUACUGCUAUCCAUGAAGUGUUGGCUGUGUUUGGUUCUCCACCAUCCUUCCAAACACCGUAAGUCGACGAAUAUUCUCGCUUGGAAUUAAUUCGAACAGAGAUAGAAAUUUCGUAGCGCACGGUGAAAUUAUACUAUUGCUAUGGAAACUGGAGAAGGUUCUCAUAGUGCAGGGAUACAAGAUCUCUCAUUGUUCCUAAGAUGGAAAUUUCCAAACUGAAGAAUUUUGUCUAGAGCACAGAGUGUCUUUGAAGAAGCUGAUUAUGUUGAGUAAGUUGAGUUAGGUAGGAUUAUGUUUUGAGUUAGUUGAGUUAGGUAUUUAGUCCUCAUCCCUUGCAUGUCCUACUUCCAAUUUAUGCAGGGUUAAGCAUUCAAGCCAGCUAGCCAUCAUUGUCCUUCAGAUUUUACUUUGCAAAGAACAGCUUAUGUUAGACAAUGAAAGCAACAAGAUACCUCACCCCAUUACAGUACAAGUAUAAGAACCACUUUUAUCAAAGGGGGUUAUCCCUUUGGAUAGCUAGGUGGAUUGUCCUUGUCCCACUAAUUGUGUGCUUCUAAGAUUAAUCUAAUGAUAGACACAGCAUUUUGCAAGUAUAAUUGUUACCAAUCAUUUUAAAAUCUGUGCAGUCAGCUGAAUAGAAGUACAGUUUGAGCAGAGCUGAGGAAGCAAGUUUUUUUUAUUUUUUAUUUUUUUUGGUUACAAGUUAAGCUCAUUCCAGUUUUCUAUUAGAGCGAGAGCCUUGACAAUUUUGUCUGUCAAGCCAUCUAAUUACUGCAUCUGGGAUCAAAGAAGCUGAUCCAAAGUAAAGACCAAAUGAGCAUUAUGUGCAAUAAUUUGCCAAAUUAAUUCAUGAGAAAGUGUACAAUUAUAUCCUUAUUAAACUAGCUCACAGUGGGACAAAAAUUUUAUGGGCAUAGUGUCCAAACUAAUUAGUUUGAGGACUAUGCGGAUCGGCGCCACGUGGCCGAUCCGACGGCCACGGAUCUCAGUUGCUUUUUCUCUCUCUCUAAAAGCAUAGGAUUUUUUGUCUUUCCAUCUGUGGCCGUCGGAUUGGCCACGUGACGUUGAUCCGCAUAAUCCCCAAACUAUUAGUUUGGGGACUAUGCCCAUAAAAUUUUUGUCCCUCACAGUGCCCUUGGCCCGCAUGUUGGAGCAUGGGGUCUGGUCAUUUCUGAACAGAGGGCCCAGUAGGGCUCCUAAAAGCCUUCCGGGCUCUGGCCUAGCCCUUUUUAGGGCCAGCCCCAUGGGCCAGUGACCACUCCUAUCACAUUGGCACACCUAGCGGAGCAUAUACCAAACUUUUGUUAAAUAUAAAAAUAUUUAAACACCGUUUUCUAACAGCUUAAGCUUUUAGAGUACAACGGUUGUUUCACAUGAUAUCAAAGCAAGAGGUCCUGAGUUCAAAUCAUGCCAGGCCCCAACAUAAAAGUCUCGAACCCAGACGUGAGGGAGAGUGUUGAGUACAACGGUUGUUUCACAACUUUAAAGCACCACAACAUUAUUGAUAGUCGAUAGAGCACAACUUUAAAGCACCACAACAUUAUUGAUAGUCGAUAGAGCAAGAAUCGUAGCACAGAUGAAUAUAUAUAUAUAGAUUAACUUUAAUGUAUUUUAUAUUUGUCAUAACGAGUACAAGUUUGUUAAUAUCAUUUUCCAAAUAUUAAUUUUCUUUAGAGAUAGAGAUAGGUAGCAUGCCACCCGCUUCGUUUAUUUCAUUUAGAGAUAAACUUAGCUGUAAAUGUGAUUCAACUAGGAUUCGAAUUUGGGACAUCGGAUAUCAACUAGCAAGUCCUUUGCCACUUUGUGCUAGGGACGGUCGGUAUUUUCCAAAUAUUGUUGAUGUCCUAAGAUGCAUGAUGUGGUUGUGACUGCUUUUGAUUAAUUUAUGCACAAUAUAUUUUGCCAAUAUUUAGAGGGCCAAAAUAUUUUACAAAGAAACACUAUGCCCAUUAAUUCUAUUCGGGAUUGUUUGCUUGUCUAUAGUUGUAAUUGCAUGAAGGUGCACAUCUAACAUUUGCUGUGUUCGCUAGAAGAUUCAACUGCAGUAGGAGUCAGCCUUGGGUGCUUGUAAAAGCACUAAGUAUUUGGUAUUUGUAAAUUUUUUACCGUUAGAUUUAUCUCUUUAAUUAUUUUCAUCCAUUAGACCAUUUUAUUCAACCAAUAAUUCACUCAAUCCUAGAAAUCUUACAUCAUCCUAAUCGCAUAUCUCUUAAUCCAGUGGCCAAAAAUCUAUAAGCACCAAUAAUUUGAUAGUUUUAAGAGCAUUGGAGCGUAAUUUCUACAGUAGUUAGAACUAUAUCCAAACUCCAAAUUAAUCGUUGUUUUAAUUACAGCGAUCGGAUAAAGUAACGUUAAACAAAAGUAGCCUUACUUACCUAAUCACAUUUUGAACAGAAAUUGUUUUUUCUUACUGAGAGUAAUCUCACAUACCAUAUAUAAAACAACAAAAUUCUAUAAAUCCACUCUUCAACUGUAUAAAAUCAAAUAAAUUAUUAAUAAUUACAUUAUUUUUUACUACAUCAAUCCAAUCAAAUAAAAAUUAGAAAGUUGCCUCUAAUAUGCUCUCUAACGAUGUCUCAACCUCCGAUUUGCUAUCACAUGUCAGUUUGGCUCUAUCUAAAAAAUUAUAAUUUUUUUUUCUAAAAUUUAAAAUAUUUUUUAAAAAAAUUUAGUAUUAAAAAAAAUAUUGUAAUAAAUUUUUAGAUUAAAAAAAAUAAAAUUAUGAGGUGACAACAGAUGAGAGGCUUUCUUCAACAAAGUUUUAUCUCGUCGUACUACUACACAGCUGCCUUAGUUGUUUUCCACUUGCUGCUACAGUGGUCCCUUCGCCCCCCCCAAUAAUUAGAGGCCACCCAUUUCUACACCUCACCCACAUCAGCACCGUCCAUUAGCUGUCCCCUAAGGACCACAAAACUCCAAGAGGCCCCCAUCCGCCGACACGUGUACCCAACGGACGCCCUCGAUCGCUACCACACGUACAAAUCGAUAAUUUUUUGUUAGUUUAAAAGAGCUUUUUAAAUUAUAAACAUCUCCCCACCACCACGUGAUUCCGAUCCCCCGCGCACAUGGCCAAACCCCUCGUAUUCCCCACCCAGCUGGCUCCUGCUACACCCAGUGACGUCACACCCCACUAACACUCUCUAGAAACAUAUAGAUAUAAAUAUAUAUAUAUAUAUAUAAAAUAUUAUAAGAUAUUUUUUUAUUUUUUUUUAAAAAAAAUUUAUAGGUAACUGCAUUAUUUGAAGGUAAAGCUGGUUCACGUGGUUGGUGUUCCCGCGUCGAAUUUACGAAUUUACCCCUCGUUCAUUACACCCCACAUUGUACGCUGAAGCUGGCGAGAAAGAUAAAAUGCAAGGGGCAGGAUGGGAAUAGUGAAAAAAAAAAAGAAUGCACUAAAAAUAAAAAUAAUAAUAAUAAUAAUAUUACAAUGAACACAGAAGCACCACCACUCAGAGCGCGCGCGCUCUCUCUCUCUCUCUCUCUCUCUCUCAAACAUGUCUAAACAAGUAACGAAGCCAAAGCAAAGAUCAAACAACGAGGUGAAAAAACAAUACAAAAAAAUGAACAAAAAAAAAAGGAAGAAGAAGAUGAAGGGAAAUAAGGAAUCCGAUCUGAAUGAUAAUAAUCACAUAAUAAUGAGGGAACAAAGAAGCAAGCGACCGAUCAAUCACUAUCAGAUCCUCGGUGGGGGUCAGGAGCUAAGAAGGAGAGUGGCCGUACGAUCGAGAUCCGACGGCGAUCUAG